UUUAAUUAUAGAUCUGGAUACAAG
rnacentral:sRNA from 1 species